GUAGAUUGUUGCUGCAGAAAAUGCGGUUUUGAUGUCUGCAGCUGAGCAGAUAUUUGGUGCUGGUGGGAAGAGAAUGUGACCAGCUCUGGUCUUUCUAGUGUCAAGAGCCACGGCAGAAGUAGUUGGGUUGAAGGAACUUACAACUGAACAUCGGCGUUUAGCAGAGAUUAUUGAGAUGAUCCACACUGCAAGUUUAAUACAUGACGAUGUAUUGGAUGAAAGUGACAUGUGAAGAG